GACGAACGCUGGCGGCGUGCUUAACACAUGCAAGUCGAACGGAAAGGCCCUGCUUUUGUGGGGUGCUCGAGUGGCGAACGGGUGAGUAACACGUGAGUAACCUGCCCUUGACUUUGGGAUAACUUCAGGAAACUGGGGCUAAUACCGGAUAGGAGCUCCUGCUGCAUGGUGGGGGUUGGAAAGUUUCGGCGGUUGGGGAUGGACUCGCGGCUUAUCAGCUUGUUGGUGGGGUAGUGGCUUACCAAGGCUUUGACGGGUAGCCGGCCUGAGAGGGUGACCGGCCACAUUGGGACUGAGAUACGGCCCAGACUCCUACGGGAGGCAGCAGUGGGGAAUAUUGCACAAUGGGCGGAAGCCUGAUGCAGCAACGCCGCGGGCGGGAUGACGGCCUUCGGGUUGUAAACCGCUUUCGCCUGUGACGAAGCUUUGUGUGACGGUAGUGGGUAAAGAAGCACCGGCUAACUACGUG
rnacentral:rRNA from 1 species